rnacentral:rRNA from 1 species
CCUACGGGUGGCACCAGUGGGGAAUAUUGGACAAUGGGCGAAAGCCUGAUCCAGCAAUGCCGCGUGUGUGAAGAAGGCCUUCGGAUUGUAAAGCACUUUCGACGGGGACGAUGAUGACGGUACCCGUAGAAGAAGCCCCGGCGAACUUCGUGCCAGCAGCCGCGGUAAUACGAAGGCGGCUAGCGUUGAUCGGAAUGACUGGGCGUAAAGGGCGCGUAGGCGGUUUAUGCAGUCAGAUGUGAAAUCCCCGGGCUUAACCUGGGAACUGCAUUUGAGACGCAUAGACUAGAGGUCGAGAGAGGGUUGUGGAAUUCCCAGUGUAGAGGUGAAAUUCGUAGAUAUUGGGAAGAACACCGGUGGCGAAGGCGGCAACCUGGCUCGAUACUGACGCUGAGGCGCGAAAGCGAGGGGAGCAAACAGGAUUAGAUACCCUCGUAGUC